UACAGAGUUCUCGAGCGUUAGGCGGAAUCACUGGGCUUAAAGCGUGUGUAGGUGGAUCGUUAAGUACCUUGUGAAAUCCCACGGCUUAACCGUGGAACUGCUGGGCAUACUGGCGAUCUUGGGCCAACUAGGGGCAACUGGAACAAGCGGUGGAGCGGUGAAAUGCGUAGAUAUCGCUUGGAACGCCAAAGGUGAAAACGAGGUU
rnacentral:rRNA from 1 species